CCUACGGGAGGCAGCAGUGGGGAAUAUUGGGCAAUGGACGCAAGUCUGACCCAGCAACGCCGCGUGAAGGAAGAAGGCUUUCGGGUUGUAAACUUCUUUUAAGGGGGAAGAGCAGAAGACGGUACCCCUUGAAUAAGCCACGGCUAACUACGUGCCAGCAGCCGCGGUCAUACGUAGGUGGCAAGCGUUGUCCGGAUUUACUGGGGGUAAAGGGCGUGCAGCCGGAGAGACAAGUCAGAUGUGAAAUCCACGGGCUCAACCCGUGAACUGCAGUUGAAACUGUUGUCCUUGAGUGUUGGAGAGGUAAUCGGAAUUCCUUGUGUAGCGGUGAAAUGCGUAGAUAUAAGGAAGAACACCAGUGGCGAAGGCGGAAUACUGGACGAUAACUGACGGUGAGGCGCGAAAGCGUGGGGAGCAAACAGGAUUAGAUACCCUUGUAGUC
rnacentral:rRNA from 1 species